UACGUAGGGUGCAAGCGUUGUCCGGAAUUAUUGGGCGUAAAGAGCUCGUAGGCGGUUCGUCACGUCGGCUGUGAAAUCCCGAGGCUCAACCUCGGGUCUGCAGUCGAUACGGGCGGACUUGAGUGACUGCGAGGGGAGACUAGGUCGAAUUCCUGGUGUAGGCGGUAGAAAUGCGCAGAUAUCAGGAGGAACACCGGUGGCGAAGGCGGGUCUCUGGGCCGAUACUGACGCUGAGGAGCGAAAGCGUGGGGAGCGAACAGG
rnacentral:rRNA from 1 species